rnacentral:rRNA from 1 species
AACAAACGCUGGCGGCGUGCCUAACACAUGCAAGUCGUACGAGAAAGGGUCUUUCGGGAUCUGAGUAAAGUGGCGCACGGGUGAGUAACGCGUGGAUAAUCUGCCCUUGAGUCGGGAAUAACUCAUCGAAAGGUGGGCUAAUACCGGAUAAUGCUGUUUUUACUACGGUUGGACAGCCAAAGGGGGCCUCUGUAUGUAAGCUCUUGCUUAAGGAUGAGUCCGCGUACCAUUAGCUAGUUGGUGGGGUAAUAGCCUACCAAGGCGACGAUGGUUAGCUGGUCUGAGAGGAUGAUCAGCCACACUGGAACUGAGACACGGUCCAGACUCCUACGGGUGGCUG